UACGGGGGGGGCAAGCGUUGUUCGGAAUUACUGGGCGUAAAGGGCGCGUAGGCGGUUUGCUAAGUUGGAUGUGAAAACUCUGGGCUUAACCCAGAGCCUGCAUCCAAAACUGGCAAACUUGAGUACUGGAGGGGAAAGCGGAAUUCCUGGUGUAGCGGUGAAAUGCGUAGAGAUGCGGAGGAACACCGAUGGCGAAGGCAGCCCCCUGGGCUAGCACUGACGCUCAGGCACGAAGGUCAGGGGAGCAAACGGG
rnacentral:rRNA from 1 species